rnacentral:misc_RNA from 1 species
UCCGAGUUGACCCCGGCAGUCUCCUAUGAGUCCCCACCAUCACGUGCUGGCAACAUAGAACGAGGGUUGCGCUCGUUGCGGGACUUAACCCAACAUCUCACGACACGAGCUGACGACAACCAUGCACCACCUGUCCACCGACCCCGAAGGGAAGCACUGUCUCCAGCGCGGUCCGGCGGAUGUCAAGCCUUGGUAAGGUUCUUCGCGUUGCAUCGAAUUAAUCCGCAUGCUCCGCCGCUUGUGCGGGCCCCCGUCAAUUCCUUUGAGUUUUAGCCUUGCGGCCGUACUCCCCAGGCGGGGCACUUAAUGCGUUAGCUACGGCGCGGAGAACGUGGAAUGUCCCCCACACCUAGUGCCCAACGUUUACGGCAUGGACUAC